rnacentral:rRNA from 1 species
AGAGUUUGAUCCUAGCUCAGAAUGAAUGCUAGUGGUAUGCUUAACACAUGCAAGUCGAACGAGUUUAAUGUAGCUUGCUAUAUUAAAUUAGUGGCAGACGGGUGAGUAAUGCUUGGGAAUUUCCCCAGUAGUAAGGAAUAACUUAUAGAAAUGUAAGGUAAUACUGUAUAAUACCCUAUUAGUUUUCUAAUGGGGGAAAGACUUCGGUCGCUAUUGGAUAAGCCCAAGUCAGAUUAGCUUGUUGGUGAGGUAAAUGCUCACCAAGGCUACGAUCUGUAGCUGGUCUGAGAGGACGAUCAGCCACGUUGGGACUGAGACACGGCCCAAACUCCUACGGGAGGCAGCAGUGGGGAAUAUUGGACAAUGGGCGAAAGCCUGAUCCAGCAAUACCACGUGAGUGAUGAAGGCCUUAGGGUUGUAAAACUCUUUCAGCGGGGAAGAUAAUGACGGUACCCGCAGAAGAAGCACCGGCUAACUCCGUGCCAGCAGCCGCGGUAAUACGGAGGGUGCUAGUAUUAUUCGGAUUUAUUGGGCGUAAAGAGUAUGUAGGCGGUUUAAUGUGUCAAGUGUGAAAUCCCGGAACUCAAUUUCGGAAUUGCAUUUGAAACUAUUUUGCUUGAGUGUGAUAUGGGAUAGCGGAAUUCCUAGUGUAGGGGUGAAAUCUGUAGAUAUUAGGAAGAACACCAGAGGUGAAGACGGCUAUCUAGGUCAUUUCUGACGCUGAGAUACGAAGGUGUGGGGAGCAAACAGGAUUAGAUACCCUGGUAGUCCACACAGUAAACGAUGAGUGCUGGGUGUCUGGUGAAUUAUCAUUGGGCGCUUAAGCUAACGCAUUAAGCACUCCGCCUGGGGAGUACGAUCGCAAGAUUAAAACUCAAAGGAAUUGACGGGGACCCGCACAAGCGGUGGAACAUGUGGUUUAAUUCGAUUUACGCGAAAAACCUUACCAGCUUUUGACAUCCCGAUUUCGAUUUACAGAAAUGUUUAUCUUCAGUUAGGCUGGAUCGGUGAAAGGUGUUGCAUGGCUGUCGUCAGCUCGUGCCGUGAGGUGUUAGGUUAAGUCCUUUAACGAGCGCAACCCUCAUUCUUACUUGCCAGCGGGUAAUGCCGGGAACUAUAAGAAAACUGCCGUUGAUAAAGCGGAGGAAGGUGGGGAUGAUGUCAAGUCAUCAUGGCCCUUAUGGGCUGGGCUACACACAUGUUACAAUGGGAAUUACAACGUGAAGCAAAGAGGCAACUCCGAGCUAAUCAUUCAAAAGUUUUCUCAGUUCGGAUUGCAGGCUGCAACUCGCCUGCAUGAAGUUGGAAUCGCUAGUAAUCGCAGAUCAGCACGCUGCGGUGAAUACGUUCUCGGGCCUUGUACACACUGCCCGUCAAGCCAUGGAAGUUGCUUUCACCUGAAUUUAGUGAGCUAACCUUUUAGGAGGCAGCUAAAUACGGUGGGGGUGAUGACUGGGGUUAAGUCGUAACAAGGUA